rnacentral:rRNA from 1 species
UAAACUACGAUUAGAUACCCUAUUAUUUUCUAUGAAUUUUAACUCCUUAGUAGUAAGUAAUGUAUUAUGAAACUAAAAGAAUUUGGCGGCAAUUUAAUUUUUUAGAGGAACUUGUUCCGUAAUCGAUAAUCCUCGCUUAAUAUACUUAAGCAUAAUAGCUUAUAUACCGUUGUUAUAAGAAUAUGUUUUUAGACUAUUUUCUUGAUAUCGUUAAGAUAUAAUUUCAGAUCAAGGUUUAGUUUAUACUUAAGAGAGAAUGAGUUACAAUAAGGGUAUUUAUACGGAAUUUUUUAUUAUAAAAAGAGGAAGGUGGAUUUGAGAGUAAAAAGAUAAUUAAGGUUAGUUGAAGUUAAGUCUAAUUUGUGCACACAUCGCCCGUCGCUCUUA